rnacentral:rRNA from 1 species
UACAGGGGGGGCAAGCGUUGUUCGGAAUUACUGGGCGUAAAGGGCUCGUAGGCGGCCAACUAAGUCCGACGUGAAAUCCCAAAGCUUAACUUUGGAACUGCGUCGGAUACUGGAUGGCUUGAAUUCGGGAGAGGGAUGCAGAAUUCCAGGUGUAGCGGUGAAAUGCGUAGAUAUCUGGAGGAAUACCGGUGGCGAAGGCGGCAUCCUGGACCGACAUUGACGCUGAGGAGCGAAGGCUAGGGGAGCAAACGGG